GGGUAAUGCUCUAUAGUCCGGGCGAACUGGAAUGUUCUCCGGAUGAAAGAUCCGUCGCUUCAGGAUGAGUCUGCGGCCGAUUAGGUAGUUGUUGGGGUAAAAGCCCAACAAGCCUGUCAUCGGUACGGGUUGUGGGAGCAAGAGCCCGGAGAUGGAUUCUGAGACACGAAUCCAGGCCCUACGGGGCGCAGCAGGCGCGAAAACUUUACAAUGCGGGCAACCGUGAUAAGGAAACCCCGAGUGCCACCACAGGGUGGCUGUCCACCAGUGUAAACAACUGGUGAAGAAAGGGCCGGGCAAGACCGGUGCCAGCCGCCGCGGUAAUACCGGCGGCUCGAGUGGUGGCCGCUUUUACUGGGCUUAAAGGGUCCGUAGCUGGAUCUGUGUGUCCCUUGAGAAAUCCAUCGGCUUAACUGAUGGGCGUUCAGGGGAAACUGCAGUUCUAGGGACCGGGAGAGGUGAGAGGUACUGCCGGGGUAGGAGUGAAAUCCUGUAAUCCCGGUGGGACGACCUAUGGCGAAGGCAUCUCACCAGAACGGCUCCGACAGUGAGGGACGAAAGCUGGGGGAGCAAACCGGAUUAGAUACCCGGGUAGUCCCAGCUGUAAACGAUGCGCAUUAGGUGUGUCAGUGACCACGUGUCACUGAGGUGCCGAAGGGAAACCGUGAAAUGCGCCGCCUGGGGAGUACGGUCGCAAGGCUGAAACUUAAAGGAAUUGGCGGGGG
rnacentral:rRNA from 1 species